rnacentral:lncRNA from 1 species
UUUGCUCGACUUUGUUUUUCUCUGAUUCGUUAAGUAAAUAUAUGCAAUGAUGGACUAUCACCAAACUUCUUCAAAGAUCUGGAGUUAAGUGGCUUAAGGAGGGGGAUGCCAAUAUUAGUUUCUUUCAUGCUUAUCUUAAGAGCAGAUCCAGAAGGAAUGCAAUUUUAGCUCUUAAGGUUGGAUAUGCUUGGGUUGAAAAAGUUUUCGAGAUUAUUUCGGAGCUGGUUA